rnacentral:rRNA from 1 species
CCUACGGGGGGCAGCAGUGGGGAAUAUUGCACAAUGGGCGAAAGCCUGAUGCAGCAACGCCGCGUGAGUGAUGAAGGUCUUCGGAUUGUAAAGCUCUGUCUUUGGGGACGAUAAUGACGGUACCCAAGGAGGAAGCCACGGCUAACUACGUGCCAGCAGCCGCGGUAAUACGUAGGUGGCGAGCGUUGUCCGGAAUUACUGGGCGUAAAGGAUGCGUAGGCGGAUACUUAAGUCAGAUGUGAAACUCCCGGGCUAAACGUGGGAACUGCAUUUGAAACUGGGUAUCUAGAGUGCGGGAGAGGAAAGUGGAAUUCCUAGUGUAGCGGUGAAAUGCGUAGAGAUUAGGAAGAACACCAGUGGCGAAGGCGACUUUCUGGACCGUAACUGACGCUGAGGCAUGAAAGCGUGGGUAGCAAACAGGAUUAGAUACCCUAGUAGUCC